rnacentral:rRNA from 1 species
GACGAACGCUGGCGGCGUGCUUAACACAUGCAAGUCGAACGGAAAGGCCUGCUUUCCCUUGUGGAUUGCGGGUACUCGAGUGGCGAACGGGUGAGUAACACGUGAGUGAUCUGCCCCCAACUUGGGUAUAAGCCUGGGAAACUGGGUCUAAUUCCCGAUAGGACUGCAGGGUGGUGCCUGUGGUGGAAAACGAUUUUCUAGUGGUUGGGGAUGAGCUCGCGGCCUAUCAGCUUGUUGGUGGGGUAAUGGCCUACCAAGGCGGCGACGGGUAGCCGGCCUGGGAUGGUGGACGGCCACAGUGGGACUGCGACACGGCCCAGACUCCUACGGGAGGCAGCAGUGGGGAAUAUUGCACAAUGGGCGGAAGCCUGAUGCAGCGACGCCGCGUGGGGGAUGACGGCCUUCGGGUUGUAAACUCCUUUCGACCGCGAGGAAGCCACCUGGUUGGAAGGGUGGUGACGGUAGUGGUAGAAGAAGCACCGGCUAACUACGUG